UGGUGCGCGCAGGCUGGUGUGCGGAGCGUGCGGAACCAGCGGAGCGGGAUCGGCGUGAGCAGCGUACUGCCAGGCUGGUCUCAAACUCCUGAUCCCAGUGAUCCGCCCGCCUCGGCCUCACAAAGUGCUGGGAUUACAGCUGUUUUACCAUGAUGUGCUUAGGUGUUCUUUCAUUUGUAUUCAUCCUAUUUGAGGUUCAUCUGAGGCCAAAUACCUGAUGUCAACUUUCUUUUUGCCACAACUUAGAGAUAACAUAAUAGGGGCAGCCUUUUCAAUAAUAGUAAGAGACAAAAAGUGGCCUAUUAAAUACAGUUACUUUGGAUUUCGGGGAAAGAAUUUCUUCCUUUAUGAGGAAGAAGGCAAGACCCUUUUCAUCUUUGAUCAUUGGUUAGCUAACGGUUUUAAAAGGAUUAGGACUAAAUAUAAAUGCCAAAAUUAUCUUUGUUUUUUGUCAACAUAUAAAAGCAUGUCUUUUAAAUUGUAUGUUUGUUUUUACUUUUGCUUUUAUUAUUUUAAAAAGUCUUAGCAUUGUAAACAAUAUAUUUUGUUGUUGGUGUUAUUAGUUGUGUCUAGCUUAUAAAUCUAAAGCUUUGUUAUUAUAAAAAUGAUACUUGCCUUAUUCAAAUAUUUCUCAAUGCAUUUUUAUACAUAUAGACAUUUUACACAAUAUCCUGUAAAUAGGAUUCUAUUAUACUAUAGUCUGGUGUUUUUAUUCACCAAGAACUUAUGAUACCAUUCCAGGUAAAGAAUUAUAGAUGAUUAUCAGGAUACGCAAGAUGAAACAUGGAUGUCUGUCAUGAUUUAAUAAUGAAUUAUUUGGCAAGUGUGGAAGUUGCUAUGAUAUGUAUUGUGGGUGGAAUUGUGUCCCCCAAAAUGAUGUCCUGAAGUCUUAACUUCUGGUACCUGUGAAUGUGACUUUAUUUGGAAAUAGGGUCUUUGCAAAUGCAAUCAAGUUAGGUUGAGAUCAUACUAGAUUCGGGUGAGCCCGAAAUCCACUGACUGGUUUUCCUCUAAGGAGAGAGAGAUUUGGAGACACAGAUUCCCAGGGAGGAGUACCAUGUGACUACAGGGGCAGAGACUGGAGCAAUACAGCUGCAAGCGGAGGAAUGUCAAGAAUUGCCAGCAACCACCAGAAGCUAGGAAGAAAAAGGAAGACUCCUCUCUGGGGCCCUCAGAAGGAACAUGAUGGCCAAUACCUUAAUUCUGGACAUCUGGCUUCCAGGACUGUGAGAGAAUACAUUUGUGUUGUUUUAGCCACCUAGUCUGUGGUAAUUUGUUACAGGAGCUGUCUAAGAAACUAAUAUAAUAUGUUAUGCUGAAUUAUUUUAUUUUAUAUUAUGUAUUUCUCUACAGCUGGAAAUAAGUUAUUAUUAGUGUCAUGUGUCCCAUAUAUCAUGGGUUGACAUUUCAAUUCUAAUUAAAGAAGCAACUAUUU
ensembl:lncRNA novel transcript